rnacentral:rRNA from 1 species
GACGAACGCUGGCGGCGUGCUUAACACAUGCAAGUCGAACGGUAAGGCCCUUCGGGGUACACGAGUGGCGAACGGGUGAGUAACACGUGGGUGAUCUGCCCUGCACUUCGGGAUAAGCCUGGGAAACUGGGUCUAAUACCGGAUAGGACCACUGCCUACAUGGGUGGUGGUGGAAAGCUUUUGCGGUGUGGGAUGGGCCCGCGGCCUAUCAGCUUGUUGGCGGGGUGAUGGCCUACCAAGGCGACGACGGGUAGCCGGCCUGAGAGGGUGACCGGCCACACUGGGACUGAGAUACGGCCCAGACUCCUACGGGAGGCAGCAGUGGGGAAUAUUGCACAAUGGGCGCAAGCCUGAUGCAGCGACGCCGCGUGAGGGAUGACGGCCUUCGGGUUGUAAACCUCCUUCAGCACCGACGAAGCGCAAGUGACGGUAGGUGCAGAAGAAGGACCGGCCAACUACGUGCCAGCAGCCGCCGUAA